GCUUAACGUAUGCAUAGCUAAGACUUACAACAGCAAAUUUUCAGCAAAAUUAUACAUAAGCACUAAUUGUUAAAGAAAGAUCAUAUAUUUGUUGACGUAAGAAAUGAUCUUAACAUGGGCAUAUUUCAUCAUUUAUCCAAAAUUUAAAUCAAAUCUUCAGGAAAAGUUCAUAAAAACAGAAAAUUAACUAGAAAUGGGAAGUUACAUCAAAAUAGAAUAUAAAAUCAGAUUGAAAACGCAGAUUCCCAUCCAAAACACACAGAUUAAAUCAGGCAAAAAUUCAAAUCCAUCAACGUUCUAUUCAAUCUAAGCUUCAUUUUCCCCGAAUUUCACAUCAACAAAAUAGAACA
rnacentral:misc_RNA from 1 species